GUGGUGGAAUUGGUAGACACAAGGGAUUUAAAAUCCCUCGGCGUUCGCGCUGUGCCGGUUCAAGUCCGGCCCGGGGCACCA
rnacentral:tRNA from 1 species